GAGGUUGUGGCUCAGUGGUAGAGUGCUUGCCUGGCAUGCAUAAGGCACUGGGUUCAAUUCUCAGCACCACA
rnacentral:tRNA from 1 species